CAGUAGCCGCGGUAAUACGUAGGUGGCAAGCGUUGUCCGGAAUUAUUGGGCGUAAAGGGCUCGCAGGCGGUUUCUUAAGUCUGAUGUGAAAGCCCCCGGCUCAACCGUGGAGGGUCAUUGGAAACUGGGAAACUUGAGUGCAGAAGAGGAGAGUGGAAUUCCACGUGUAGCGGUGAAAUGCGUAGAGAUGUGGAGGAACACCAGUGGCGAAGGCGACUCUCUGGUCUGUAACUGACGCUGAGGAGCGAAAGCGUGGGGAGCGAACAGGAUUAGAUACCCCCGUAGUCCCUGUCUCUUAUAC
rnacentral:rRNA from 1 species